rnacentral:tRNA from 1 species
UUUUUGAUGGCCGACCUUAAGGCAAUAAACUUUUAAUUUAUUUAUGAGGAGACUCUCUUGCGUUGAU